rnacentral:rRNA from 1 species
AGGAAUAUUGGUCAAUGGGCGUAAGCCUGAACCAGCCAAGUAGCGUGAGGGAAGACUGCCCUAUGGGUUGUAAACCUCUUUUGUGCGGGGAUAAAGUGAGGGACGUGUCCCUUAUUGCAGGUACCGCACGAAUAAGGACCGGCUAAUUCCGUGCCAGCAGCCGCGGUAAUACGGAAGGUCCGGGCGUUAUCCGGAUUUAUUGGGUUUAAAGGGAGCGCAGGCCGUCCUUUAAGCGUGCUGUGAAAUGCCGCGGCUCAACCGUGGCACUGCAGCGCGAACUGGAGGACUUGAGUACGCACGAGGUAGGCGGAAUUCGUGGUGUAGCGGUGAAAUGCUUAGAUAUCACGAAGAACUCCGAUUGCGAAGGCAGCUUACCGGAGCGCAACUGACGCUGAGGCUCGAAAGCGCGGGUAUCGAACAGGAUUAGAUACCCUGGUAGUCCGCGCGGUAAACGAUGGAUGCCCGCCGUUGGGAUUUGGAUUUCAGCGGCCAAGCGAAAGCGUUAAGCAUCCCACCUGGGGAGUACGCCGGCAACGGUGAAACUCAAAGGAAUUGACGGGGGCCCGCACAAGCGGAGGAACAUGUGGUUUAAUUCGAUGAUACGCGAGGAACCUUACCCGGGCUUGAAUUGCAGGAGAACGAUCCAGAGAUGGUGAGGCCCUUCGGGGCUCCUGUGAAGGUGCUGCAUGGUUGUCGUCAGCUCGUGCCGUGAGGUGUCGGCUCAAGUGCCAUAACGAGCGCAACCCCUGUCCAUAGUUGCCAUCAGGUCGUGCUGGGCACUCUGUGGAGACUGCCGCCGUAAGGUGUGAGGAAGGUGGGGAUGACGUCAAAUCAGCACGGCCCUUACGUCCGGGGCUACACACGUGUUACAAUGGGGCAUACAGCGAGUUGGAUGUGCGCAAGUACGUCCGGAUCAAUAAAGUGCCUCUCAGUUCGGACUGGGGUCUGCAACCCGACCCCACGAAGCUGGAUUCGCUAGUAAUCGCGCAUCAGCCAUGGCGCGGUGAAUACGUUCCCG